rnacentral:rRNA from 1 species
AUGGGUGCCGCGCGCGCAUGGCGCUGGAAGCUUCUGCCCUUCCACUCCAAGCCGCCGCCGCCGCCGCCGCCAUCCCUCCCUGCAACCCUGUCCCCGGUGGACAAGGAGGAGGACGUGCCACGGGAGUUCCUGUGCCCGAUACUGGGCGCGCCCAUGUCCGACCCGGUGAUCCUGCCGUCGGGGCGGACGUACGAGCGCGCCUGCAUCCAGGCCUGCGCGGAGCUUUCCGUCUCUCCACCUGGCCUGGAGGGAGACUCGCCGGCAUCGGGUGGGGUGGUUCCCAUACCCAACGACGCGCUCGGGGCGGCCAUCCGGACUUGGAGCGCGCGGUCCGGACGCGCGCCGCCUGCGGCCCCUUCCGCCGCGGCGGCACGGGAGGCCGUGCUACGCGCGGUUCCGUCUCCGCGGCCACCAGGCAGGUCGUCUUCUAACUUGUCCUGCUCCUCCAGGGCGUCCGCUGCGUCGACGUCGUCGUCGUCCUCCCGGUCGUCGUCAGAGAUAACGGCGGUGGAGCAGCUGGAGAUGGUGUGCGCGAAGAAAACGGAGUCAUUGCGGGUUGGUGAGGGGGAGGAGGAAGUUGGCCAGUUGACAGUGAAGGCUGUGGGCGGCGGAGAUGAGUGGGAGGUGGAGGCAGCGAUGGCGGCGCUGCGACGGGCGACGCGGGAAAGCGCGCCGAGGAGGCGGGCGCUCUGCGUGCCGCAGCUGCUCGCUGCGCUCCGUCGCGUGCUGCUGUCCGCGCGUCACUCGGCCGCGGCGCGCGCCGACGCUACCGCUGCUCUGGCCAACCUCUCCCUCGAGCCUGAGAACAGGGUGCCCAUCGUCCGCGCGGGUGCCGUGCCGGCGCUCGUCGAGGUUGCCAGCUUGGGUGCUGCCGCCCCGGAGGCGUGCGAGCACGCGGCAGGCGCUCUGUUCGGCCUGGCUCUCCACGAGGGCAACCGCGCCGCCAUCGGCGUGCUCGGCGCCUUGCCUCCUCUUCUGGCACUCCUUACGACGGGCGACCAGGCCCCGCGAGCGCGCCGCGAUGCCGGGAUGGCUCUGCUCCACCUCUCCCUCGCCGCCGUUAACCAGUCUAAGCUCGCGCGCGCCCCGGGCGCCGCCAAGAACCUGCUCUCCAUCUCCUCCGAUUCCAACGAGCCGUUGCCCAUCCGCAGGCUGGCCCUCAUGGUGAUCUGCAACGUCGCCGCCUGCACUGAGGGCCGGACAGCGCUCAUGGACGCCGGCGCCGUGGCGACGUUCUCCGUCAUCCUUUCCGACGACGCUCACAGGUCGGAGCUUGAAGAAUGCUGCGUCGCGGCAUUGUACGACAUGAGCAAGGGAAGCCCGCGGUUCCGGGGGCUCGCCAGAGCGGCCGGCGCCGACCGGCCACUCAUCCUCAUCGCCGAGCAAGCGGACCCCGGCGUUCACAAGGACAUGGCGCGGAAGGCACUGCGAGCAAUGCUGGGCCUGGGCGACAUCAACGGCGGAGGCCUUCAUGAUUUCAGCAACACCGAACGCAACGACGAUGACAGCGGCACCAUGGCGUCGUCCCUGCCGGUCCGCCGCCGGCGUGCUGCGAGCUGGGGAGCUCCUCCUGCCUCGAAGCUGUCAAGUUCACACCACUGGCGAUCAGUAUGCAUCGAUUAG